rnacentral:lncRNA from 1 species
AAAAACCAAAAUAGAACCUAGAAACAAAAGGCUUAAGAAUGAAUUUAUUAUGAAAGCUAAAAUAGGGAACUAAAAUCUGAGAAAUGAAAGAAACCUACAAUUAUUUCUAUUUACCGUAACAACCUUAAAGAAUAUAACCUAAAACAUCCUAAAAAAUGCCUAACAGAUUUACCUAAGCUCUAUACAAUAUGAACAACUAAAACAGCAUAGUACACA